rnacentral:rRNA from 1 species
GUGGGGAAUAUUGGACAAUGGGCGAAAGCCUGAUCCAGCCAUGCCGCGUGUGUGAAGAAGGUCUUCGGAUUGUAAAGCACUUUAAGUUGGGAGGAAGGGCAGUAAGUUAAUACCUUGCUGUUUUGACGUUACCGACAGAAUAAGCACCGGCUAACUUCGUGCCAGCAGCCGCGGUAAUACGAAGGGUGCAAGCGUUAAUCGGAAUUACUGGGCGUAAAGCGCGCGUAGGUGGUUUUGUAAGUUGGAGGUGAAAUCCCCGGGCUCAACCUGGGAACUGCCUCCAAAACUGCAUGACUAGAGUACGGUAGAGGGUAGUGUAAUUUCCUGUGUAGCGGUGAAAUGCGUAGAUAUAGGAAGGAACACCAGUGGCGAAGGCGACUACCUGGACUGAUACUGACGCUGAGGCGCGAAAGCGUGGGGAGCAAACAGGAUUAGAAACCCGUGUAGUCC